AGUCUGACGGAGCACGCCGCGUGAGUGAAGAAGGUUUUCGGAUCGUAAAGCUCUGUCUUUGAGGACGAAUGUGCUUAAUGUGAAUAAUGUUAAGUAAUGACGGUACUCGAGGAGGAAGCCACGGCUAACUACGUGCCAGCAGCCGCGGUAAUA
rnacentral:rRNA from 1 species